rnacentral:rRNA from 1 species
AACGAACGCUGGCGGCAGGCCUCACACAUGCAAGUCGAGCGCUCCUCAAGGGGAGCGUCGGACGGGUGAGUAACGCGUGGGAACGUGCCCUUUGCUACGGAAUACCCCCGGGAAACUUGGAGAAAUGCCGUACAAGCCCUACGGGGGAAAGAUUUAUCCGCAAAGGAAAGGCCCGCGUAGGAUUAGGUACUUAGUGGGGUAAUGGCAUACCAAGCCGACGAUCCAUAGCUGGUUUGAGAGGAUGAUCAGCCACACUGGGACUGAGACCCGGCCCAGACUCCUACGGGAGGCAGCAGUGGGGAAUCUUAGACAAUGGGCGCAAGCCUGAUCUAGCCAUGCCGCGUGAGCGAUGAAGGCCUUAGGGUUGUAAAGCUCUUUCGUGGGGGAAGAUAAUGACUGUACCCCAAGAAGAAGCCCCGGCUAACUCCGUGCCAGCCGCCGCCGUAACAC